AAAAUGGCAGAGCCACAAACUGUGAAAAUUGAUAUACCCUUCCAAGGAGAGAGGGCCUAAGCUGCCACUGAACAGGUGUGAUACAUGUGCCUCCUUUCAGCUGGUCAGGUGGGACAGGUGGAGUAAGGAGAGCCUCUAUCAAAGGGUGGCCUGGAGCAGAAUAUCAGGCUAUGUGUAUUAGUUCGUUUUCACACGCUAUGAAGAACUACCUGAGACUGGGUAAUUUAUAAAGAAAAGAGGUUUAAUUAACUCAGAGUUCCCAUGACUGGGGAGGCCUCAGGAAACUUACAAUCAUGGUGGAAGGCAUGAUAGCAGGAGGGGUGGAAAGAGGGGAGUGU
rnacentral:lncRNA from 10 species